GACGAACGCUGGCGGCGUGCUUAACACAUGCAAGUCGAACGGUAGGGCCCUUCGGGGUACACGAGUGGCGAACGGGUGAGUAACACGUGGGUGAUCUGCCCUGCACUUCGGGAUAAGCCUGGGAAACUGGGUCUAAUACCGGAUAGGACCACUGCCUGCAUGGGUGGUGGGGGAAAGCUUUUGCGGUGUGGGAUGGGCCCGCGGCCUAUCAGCUUGUUGGUGGGGUGAUGGCCUACCAAGGCGACGACGGGUAGCCGGCCUGAGAGGGUGACCGGCCACACUGGGACUGAGAUACGGCCCAGACUCCUACGGGAGGCAGCAGUGGGGAAUAUUGCACAAUGGGCGCAAGCCUGAUGCAGCGACGCCGCGUGAGGGAUGACGGCCUUCGGGUUGUAAACCUCUUUCAGCACCGACGAAGCGCAAGUGACGGUAGGUGCAGAAGAAGGACCGGCCAACUACGUGCCAGCCGCCGCGGUAA
rnacentral:rRNA from 1 species